rnacentral:rRNA from 1 species
CCUACGGGGGGCAGCAGUGGGGAAUAUUGGGCAAUGGGCGCAAGCCUGACCCAGCAACGCCGCGUGAAGGAAGAAGGCUUUCGGGUUGUAAACUUCUUUUGUCAGGGAAGAGUAGAAGACGGUACCUGACGAAUAAGCCACGGCUAACUACGUGCCAGCAGCCGCGGUAAUACGUAGGUGGCAAGCGUUGUCCGGAUUUACUGGGUGUAAAGGGCGUGUAGCCGGGUUGGCAAGUCAGAUGUGAAAUCCUGCGGCUUAACCGCAGAACUGCAUUUGAAACUGUUUAUCUUGAGUACUGGUGAGGCAGAUGGAAUUCCUAGUGUAGCGGUGAAAUGCGUAGAUAUUAGGAGGAACACCAGUGGCGAAGGCGGUCUGCUGGACAGCAACUGACGGUGAGGCGCGAAAGCGUGGGGAGCAAACAGGAUUAGAUACCCCAGUAGUC